UUAUGUGCAUAAACUAGAAAACUUAAAGGAGAUAGAUAAAUUUCUAUAAAUAUACAACCCUCCUAGAUUAAACCAGGAAGAAAUAGAAACUCUGAACAGACCAAAACAAGCAUCAAGAUUAAAAUGGUAAUAAAAUUGCCAACAAAAAAGUCCAGGCAGGACCAGAUGGAUUUACAGCUGAAUUUUAUUAGACAUUCAAAGAAGAAUUAGUACCAAUCCUAUUGACGCUAUUCCACAAGAUAAAGAGGGAAUCCUCCCUAAAUCAUUCUAUGAAGCCAGUAUUACACUAAUAGUGAAA
rnacentral:lncRNA from 10 species